GAUAUAAUCAUUAUCGAUGGCGCAGUAUCCUAGUUAACUCGUCGUUGCUGAAAGCGUGCCUAAAAAUACGCAUAAAGGCAAAUCGAUGAAGCUCCUUGUGCUUGCUUUAUACGCCCAGUUUAGGGUGGGUGCUGGGAGAAAUGGGAUUGUGGGCUGCCUGCAAUGGCAUGCGGAAUUAGACCCACUUUCUUUUGAGGCCCUAUUCAUGUGGGCGAAUGUAUGUGUCAAUUUAUUGCCACGCAUAUCAUCUACGGAUUAGGGAUUAAACCUAUCGUGCGGUGCGAAUGUAAAUGACGCUGUGGAUAGAUGUAGCCUGCCUUGAGUGGUUAUGGCGGAUAGGGGAUCAUACUAACGGAGAUUAGCUACCGAAGUUAGGAAUAUCUCCCCUUGAAAUCAACACUGCAAAAGAGGAUUAGGCAACGAGAACGGGUUAUUGAGGAAAACUCCUAGGCUGAGAAAUGCGACAGCAUCGGACACAAUAUGGAUUGCAGUGCGGACUAAAAGGCAAUCAAGUCACGGCUAUGGUAACAUACCGUCGGCGGCUUUAAAGGGAAACCGCUUCUUUGGCGACAGGAAGCAGCUGCCGGGGAAAACCAACUUGACUAUAUGCCGCAAAGUUUACUUAUUGUGUUGCCAUCUAACAAUUUAAUAUA
rnacentral:sRNA from 1 species